UUUAGGUAUAAAUUUGGUAAUUAGUGGGUGUCUCACUAAAAUGUUCUGCAGGUGUAUCACUCAACACUCAAUUUUCUCUCGGUUUUUGGGUAAGGGUGUCACUCACGAGUUCUGUAAGUGUAUCCCUCCACACAAAUACUGAGCUUCCAAAAUGCUGAGUACCUGCAAGAAAAUCACCUUAGCCACCCUUAAAGGGGGUCACCGGUGGUGCAAUGGGAGUUCGUAAUUCCCAGUCCCUGUAGACUCAUCAGAUAAAUCCGAAUCAUGGUCCACAAGUUGCCAACCACUAAGUGGCUUAUCCAAUUAAGGAUCCAGAGUUGUUUGCUCUGGGAGGUUAGACAAAGGCUUAAUUAUGGCAAAGGCCUAAGUCC
rnacentral:lncRNA from 1 species